rnacentral:rRNA from 1 species
UACGUAGGGUGCAAGCGUUAAUCGGAAUUACUGGGCGUAAAGCGUGCGCAGGCGGCUUUGCAAGACAGAUAUGAAAUCCCCGGGCUCAACCUGGGAACUGCAUUUGUGACUGCAUGGCUAGAGUGCGGCAGAGGGGGAUGGAAUUCCGCGUGUAGCAGUGAAAUGCGUAGAGAUGCGGAGGAACACCGAUGGCGAAGGCAGCCCCCCUGGGCUAAGACUGACGGCUGAGGCACGAAAGCGUGGGGGAGCAAACAGG